GAUGAACGCUGGCGGCGUGCCUAAUACAUGCAAGUCGAGCGAACAGACGAGGAGCUUGCUCCUUUGACGUUAGCGGCGGACGGGUGAGUAACACGUAGGUAACCUACCUAUAAGACUGGGAUAACUUCGGGAAACCGGAGCUAAUACCGGAUAAUAUUUCGAACCGCAUGGUUCGAUAGUGAAAGAUGGCUUUGCUAUCACUUAUAGAUGGACCUGCGCCGUAUUAGCUAGUUGGUAAGGUAACGGCUUACCAAGGCAACGAUACGUAGCCGACCUGAGAGGGUGAUCGGCCACACUGGAACUGAGACACGGACCAGACUCCUACGGGAGGCAGCAGUAGGGAAUCUUCCGCAAUGGGCGAAAGCCUGACGGAGCAACGCCGCGUGAGUGAUGAAGGUCUUCGGAUCGUAAAACUCUGUUAUUAGGGAAGAACAAACGUGUAAGUAACUGUGCACGUCUUGACGGUACCUAAUCAGAAAGCCACGGCUAACUACGUG
rnacentral:rRNA from 1 species